GCUAAUCACGUGCUUGGCUCGGCGGGUAUACUGGGUGUGGGAUCGUUGAGGGGAAUUGCUGGGCGUAACUGGCGCGUGGUUGGUUUGUUAAGUUGGAUGUGAAAGCCCCGGGCUCAACCUUGGAACUGCAGCCAAAACUGGCAAGUGAGAGUACGGUAUAGGGUGGCGGAAGUUCCUGUUUAGCGGUGAAAUGCGUAGAUAUAGGAAGGAACACCAGUGGCGAAGGCGACCACCUGGACUGAUACUGACACCGAGGUGCGAAAGCGUGGGGAGCAAACAGGAUUAGAUACCCUAGUAGUC
rnacentral:rRNA from 1 species